UACGUAGGGGGCAAGCGUUGUCCGGAAUCAUUGGGCGUAAAGCGCGCGUAGGCGGCCAGAUAAGUCCGGUGUGAAAGUCACAGGCUCAACCUGUGAAUGCCGCUGGAAACUGUCUGGCUUGAGUCCGGAAGGGGCGAGUGGAAUUCCUGGUGUAGCGGUGAAAUGCGCAGAUAUCAGGAAGAACACCCGUGGCGGAGGCGGCUCUCUGGGACGGUACUGACGCUGAGACGCGAAAGCGUGGGGAGCAAACAGG
rnacentral:rRNA from 1 species